rnacentral:lncRNA from 1 species
GGUUUUUGAAAUCAUAUAAAAAAAUAUAAAAUUUGGCUAAAAGUGACAACACAACCUCAUUUAUAAGGAAAGGAACAUGUUUAAUUUCAUUCAAAAUUCCCCCACUGGUGGCCAUCUUGGAUGACGGAUCGGCUACAAAGUAACAACACUUGGUCAGCACCUCAUAAGGAACAUUCAUGCCAUGUUUGGUUUUAUUCCAUUCAGUGGUUCUCUAAAAGAAGUCAUUUGUAUGCAUUUCCCAUAGGGUCCUAUGUUAAACUAAGUCCCCUGCUGGCAGCCAUCUUGGAUGAUGGAUCGGCUACAAAGUAACAACACUUGGUCAGCACCUCAUAAGGAACAUUCAUGCAAUUUUUGGUUUUAUUCCAUUCAGUGGUUCUCUAAAAGAAGUCAUUUGUAUGCAUUUCCCAUAGGGUCCUAUGUUAAAC